rnacentral:rRNA from 1 species
GGACUACAGGGGUAUCUAAUCCCGUUCGCUCCCCUAGCUUUCGCGCCUCAGCGUCAGAAGAGGUCCAGCACGUCGCUUUCGCCACCGGCGUUCCUUCCGAUAUCAACGCAUUUCACCGCUCCACCGGAAGUUCCACAUGCCCCUACCUCCCUCAAGGCGGCCAGUAUCAGGGGCACUUUUCCGGUUGAGCCGAAAGAUUUCACCCCUGACUUGAUCGCCCGCCUACGCGCCCUUUAAGCCCAGUGAUUCCGAACAACGUUCGCACGGUUUGUCUUACCGCGGCUGCUGGCAC